GGCCGGUUAGCUCAGUGGUUUGAGCGCAGUGCUGACAACAAUAAGAUCGCGGGUUUGAUUCCCGCUCGGUCC
rnacentral:tRNA from 1 species